rnacentral:rRNA from 1 species
GACGAACGCUGGCGGCGUGCCUAACACAUGCAAGUCGAGCGGGGAGAUCCUUCGGGGUCUUCUAGCGGCGGACGGGUGAGUAACGCGUGAGCAACCUUUCCUUCACAGGGGGAGUAACACAGCGAAAGCUGUACUAAUACCGCAUAAGACCACGGGAUCACAUGAUCCAGGGGUCAAAGGAGAAAUCCAGUGAAGGGUGGGCUCGCGUCUGAUUAGCUAGUUGGUGAGGUAACGGCCCACCAAGGCAACGAUCAGUAGCCGACCUGAGAGGGUGAUCGGCCACACUGGGACUGAGACACGGCCCAGACUCCUACGGGUGGCUG